rnacentral:lncRNA from 1 species
GGGAGAAAGAGUUGCUAAUAUGCUAUCUUGAAUUGAUGUAAAGGGUCAUCUCAAAGAGAAAUUAGCUAGCUUGCAGAAGUCAAGAAAUGUAAAAACUUGCUUACAUUCUUGCACAUUUAAAGAGAAGAUGAAAAUGUAACACUUGCCAAAUUGUUUGCUUGCCUCAUGUAAAACAUUGUCUCUUAUGUUCAUCAUGUGCAUUGUGCACCAUUUCAUAUGUCAUUAAUGAACUGAUUGUUGAAUCUCGUAUUUUGAUGAUGAAACUACUUGAUAUAUAUGUAUGAUUUAAUCUGCGUUUUGAGUGACGCAGGAUGCUUCGAUCAGGAUGAGACAAUUAAAGCAGGAAAAUCAUGUUGUGCCUGUAAUAUCCCUCACUUUUGAAACUUAUUAAUAAAGAUUUAUUUAUAAAUCGGGGGACCUAUAUGUAAAUAUGGAAAUUUCAAGGACUAAACUGUUAAGUUGCAAAAAGAAAAAAAGAUAAAGGAAAACCGAAAAUUCGGUUUUAUCCCACCGCCUCCCACGCUCUCUGUUUCUCGAACAGAGAGAGAAGCGGUGGGGCGUGGGUCUGUUUCUCGAAUAGAGAGAGGAGCGGUGGAGCGUGGGGAGAAGAAGAGAGGAAGAAGAGGGAGAAGAGAAGAAGAAGAAGAAGAAGAAGAAAAAGAAGAGAGGAGAAUAGCUGCGGCAAGGCUGCAGCGAGGAGGUGUGUGGCCUUGGGGAGGAAAAGGGAAGAGGAGAAGAAGAGAAGGAGAAGAAGAGGGAAAAGAGAGGGAAGACGGAGUGGAGCGAGAGGUGGCAGCAGCUAGGGCUGCAGCACCUCUGUUUCCUGCAGGUGGAAACAGAGGAGACGUGUGGGGUGUCGGGUAGGAGAAGAGCAGAAGAAGGAGAAGAGGAAGAGAAGAAGAAGAGGAAGCAGGAGAAGAGGUUGUGAUACCUCUGUUUCCUGCAGAGGAAACAGAGGAGAGGGUGUGUGUGACGCCGGGGAGGAGGAGGGAAGAAGAAGAGGAGAAGAAGAGAAGAGGAAGAAAUGGAAGAAGAGAGGAAGAGGAGAAGGGGUGGUAGCUGCGGCAGUGGCAGCUGCAGUUGGAAGAGAAGGAGAGGAAAUAGAGUAGCGGAGGAAGAAGAGGCUGCGGUUGUAGUGGCUGCGGCCAUGGUUGCGACUGCGACUGCGGCAGUUGCAGUUGGGAAAGAAAAGAAAGGAAAGGGGGAAAAAGGGGCUGCGGACGGGAUUGCGGCCGCAACGGCAGCGACUGUGUAUGCAGCAGUUAUGUCUGCGAGAGAAGGGGGGAAGGAAGGUAGUGCGGUGGAAGGGGCUGCGAUUGUGGCAGCGGCA